rnacentral:rRNA from 1 species
GACGAACGCUGGCGGCGUGCCUAAUACAUGCAAGUCGACCUUAGUUGCGAACGGGUGAGUAACACGUGGGUAACCUACCCAUCAGCGGGGGAUAACACUUGGAAACAGGUGCUAAUACCGUAUACUGAUGGAUGGACCCGCGGUGCAUUAGCUAGUUGGUGAGGUAACGGCUCACCAAGUCCACGAUGCAUAGCCGACCUGAGAGGGGGAUCGGCCACAUUGGGACUGAGACACGGCCCAAACGCCUACGGGAGGCAGCAGUAGGGAAUCUUCGGCAAUGGACGAAAGUCUGACCGAGCAACGCCGCGUGAGUGAAGAAGGUUUUCGGAUCGUAAAACUCUGUUGUUAGAGAAGCGGUAUCUAACCAGAAAGCCACGGCUAACUACGUGCCAGCAGCCGCGGUAAUAC